UUAUUGAAGCUUCGGCAGAUUUAGCUUGUUUCUAGUGGCGGACGGGUGAGUAACGCGUGGGUAACCUGCCUUAUACUGGGGGAUAACAGCCAGAAAUGACUGCUAAUACCGCAUAAGCGCACAGGACCGCAUGGUUCGGUGUGAAAAACUCCGGUGGUAUAAGAUGGACCCGCGUUGGAUUAGCUGGUUGGCAGGGCAGCGGCCUACCAAGGCGACGAUCCAUAGCCGGCCUGAGAGGGUGAACGGCCACAUUGGGACUGAGACACGGCCCAGACUCCUACGGGAGGCAGCAGUGGGGAAUAUUGCACAAUGGGGGAAACCCUGAUGCAGCGACGCCGCGUGAAGGAAGAAGUAUCUCGGUAUGUAAACUUCUAUCAGCAGGGAAGAUAAUGACGGUACCUGACUAAGAAGCCCCGGCUAACUACGUGCCAGCAGCCGCGGUAAUACGUAGGGGGCAAGCGUUAUCCGGAUUUACUGGGUGUAAAGGGAGCGUAGACGGCGCAGCAAGUCUGAUGUGAAAGGCAGGGGCUUAACCCCUGGACUGCAUUGGAAACUGCUGUGCUUGAGUGCCGGAGGGGUAAGCGGAAUUCCUAGUGUAGCGGUGAAAUGCGUAGAUAUUAGGAGGAACACCAGUGGCGAAGGCGGCUUACUGGA
rnacentral:rRNA from 1 species